CAGGGUCACCUGUGAGUGUACAGGGUCACCCGUGAGUGUACAGGGUCACCUGUGAGUGUACAGGGUCACCCGUGAGUGUACAGGGUCACCCGUGAGUGUA
rnacentral:lncRNA from 1 species